GAGUUUGAUCAUGGCUCAGAUUGAGCGCUGGCGGCAGGCCUAACACAUGCAAGUCGAACGGUAACAGGAAACAGCUUGCUGUUUCGCUGACGAGUGGCGGACGGGUGAGUAAUGUCUGGGAAACUGCCUGAUGGAGGGGGAUAACUACUGGAAACGGUAGCUAAUACCGCAUAACGUCGCAAGACCAAAGAGGGGGACCUUCGGGCCUCUUGCCAUCAGAUGUGCCCAGAUGGGAUUAGCUAGUAGGUGGGGUAACGGCUCACCUAGGCGACGAUCCCUAGCUGGUCUGAGAGGAUGACCAGCCACACUGGAACUGAGACACGGUCCAGACUCCUACGGGAGGCAGCAGUGGGGAAUAUUGCACAAUGGGCGCAAGCCUGAUGCAGCCAUGCCGCGUGUAUGAAGAAGGCCUUCGGGUUGUAAAGUACUUUCAGCGGGGAGGAAGGGAGUAAAGUUAAUACCUUUGCUCAUUGACGUUACCCGCAGAAGAAGCACCGGCUAACUCCGUGCCAGCAGCCGCGGUAAUACGGAGGGUGCAAGCGUUAAUCGGAAUUACUGGGCGUAAAGCGCACGCAGGCGGUUUGUUAAGUCAGAUGUGAAAUCCCCGGGCUCAACCUGGGAACUGCAUCUGAUACUGGCAAGCUUGAGUCUCGUAGAGGGGGGUAGAAUUCCAGGUGUAGCGGUGAAAUGCGUAGAGAUCUGGAGGAAUACCGGUGGCGAAGGCGGCCCCCUGGACGAAGACUGACGCUCAGGUGCGAAAGCGUGGGGAGCAAACAGGAUUAGAUACCCUGGUAGUCCACGCCGUAAACGAUGUCGACUUGGAGGUUGUGCCCCUGAGGCGUGGCUUCCGGAGCUAACGCGUUAAGUCGACCGCCUGGGGAGUACGGCCGCAAGGUUAAAACUCAAAUGAAUUGACGGGGGCCCGCACAAGCGGUGGAGCAUGUGGUUUAAUUCGAUGCAACGCGAAGAACCUUACCUGGUCUUGACAUCCACGGAAGUUUUCAGAGAUGAGAAUGUGCCUUCGGGAACCGUGAGACAGGUGCUGCAUGGCUGUCGUCAGCUCGUGUUGUGAAAUGUUGGGUUAAGUCCCGCAACGAGCGCAACCCUUAUCCUUUGUUGCCAGCGGUCCGGCCGGGAACUCAAAGGAGACUGCCAGUGAUAAACUGGAGGAAGGUGGGGAUGACGUCAAGUCAUCAUGGCCCUUACGACCAGGGCUACACACGUGCUACAAUGGCGCAUACAAAGAGAAGCGACCUCGCGAGAGCAAGCGGACCUCAUAAAGUGCGUCGUAGUCCGGAUUGGAGUCUGCAACUCGACUCCAUGAAGUCGGAAUCGCUAGUAAUCGUGGAUCAGAAUGCCACGGUGAAUACGUUCCCGGGCCUUGUACACACCGCCCGUCACACCAUGGGAGUGGGUUGCAAAAGAAGUAGGUAGCUUAACCUUCGGGAGGGCGCUUACCACUUUGUGAUUCAUGACUGGGGUGAAGUCGUAACAAGGUAACCGUAGGGGAACCUGCGGUUG
rnacentral:rRNA from 1 species